GAUGAACGCUGGCGGCGUGCCUAAUACAUGCAAGUCGAGCGAACAGACGAGGAGCUUGCUCCUCUGACGUUAGCGGCGGACGGGUGAGUAACACGUGGAUAACCUACCUAUAAGACUGGGAUAACUUCGGGAAACCGGAGCUAAUACCGGAUAAUAUAUUGAACCGCAUGGUUCAAUAGUGAAAGACGGUUUUGCUGUCACUUAUAGAUGGAUCCGCGCCGCAUUAGCUAGUUGGUAAGGUAACGGCUUACCAAGGCAACGAUGCGUAGCCGACCUGAGAGGGUGAUCGGCCACACUGGAGCUGGGACACGGUCCAGACUCCUACGGGAGGCAGCAGUAGGGAAUCUUCCGCAAUGGGCGAAAGCCUGACGGAGCAACGCCGCGUGAGUGAUGAAGGUCUUCGGAUCGUAAAACACUGUUAUUAGGGAAGAACAAAUGUGUAAGUAACUAUGCACGUCUUGACGGUACCGAAGCAGAAAGCCACGGCUAACUACGU
rnacentral:rRNA from 1 species